CCAUGCCUGCUGCUAUGAAUGAGGCUUAAGAAAAGGUGUCCUUGGCCUCCUGCUAAUAGUCAUCAUCUUCAUCGUGCCUGCGUGCGCUCUCUAGCUAACACAGCCUUAUGAAAUAGGGGCACACCGCUAAUAAACAAAGCACUAUAAAAGAUCAGAUUGUUGCAUGCUCCAGCCUCAUUUCCUUGCUGCCGCCAGCAACCUGCUCUCCGUUCAUCACUCCUGCUUGCAGCAGCGAGGAGGCCUGGGGUCCGCUCUCCCCCCCGCCUUGUCUCUGUGGGUGCUUCUGCCUUGCACUUUUCCAGAGCAGAGGACAAAUCAUGGGCAAGUCCAGCAAUAAAGGAAAUAAAGCUGGCUCAUUAUUGGGGCCUCGGAUCUUGAGAACCGGUCCUUGAGCUAAAUGACACAAGCCACGUGGUCUCUGCGAGCUAAGCAAGCAGCUGCCCACGGGGACAGGUGUAACUGCUGCCCGUGGCCCUAGCUGCAAUGCUCUCUCGAGCGAACGUGAUGCAGGUGCUGGGUUUGUUAGCUGCGUUGAGAUGACUUCCAAUGAAUCGGUUGCGGACAGGAUGAGAAAACGGUCCAUCCUGUUGUCUCGGAGAGAUGAAGUUGCUGCUGCCUGUGUAUGACUUUCAGGUACGACGCUAUGAUGGACUGAAGAGGAUGAAAAUGCACCAUGAGAAUUUGGAGUGGAUCCAUCUUAACAUCAUCAUCAUCAUCAUCAUCAUCAUACCUAACUGUCUUGUGGUUUUGGUCUUCUAGAUGGAUCCUCUGAUGCAAAGGGCUCUUCCUAUCGCCCGCACCCGUUCCCCAACCCGCCUUGGGAUCAGUGAAAUGGGCAUCGGUUGUGGACUAAGGAGCUGAAAGAUGUAAAAGACAAAGAAGAAUGAUGCACUUGGUCUCCAGUGCUGGGCACUGAGAAGGAAAGCAGAGAUCUUCCAUGCAGCUUCACGUCAACAGGAUUGUAUUCUCCACACCCAAUGCAAACCCCCGUCUAGGAUGCAGGAGGAGGAGACACUCAGCAUCACUGAGCCCUGCACGGUUGAAUCUGGAACGGGCUUCCAAGGCAGGUGGUGCUAGGAACUAGGCCUAGGCUGCAAGCUUAAGUAGCCAAGCUUUGUGUGUUGGUACUAGAGGCCCCAGGUAGGAAUGCAGCAGGGAAGUCACAGGAGCUGUAGAUAAAUGCCAGCAGAAAAUCUCCUCCUGACAUUGAUCUUAGUAACUUCAGUGACCCUUAAAAGCAGGAAGACUCCAGAGCCCUUGCAGCAGGGUGGGACUUCCCACUGACGUCACCAGGCUCUCACACCGGGGUGCGAUUCUUCACGUCCCGUCAAACCAAACCCUGAAAGACUGGGUGGUUUCCUGUUUGAGUUGAGCAAAGCAAACAAGGGAGUAGCAGAGGCUAAGACUAGGGCUCCACCAUGCAGCACAGGGAUGAGUUCAGGCUUUG